GCCUGGGUGGCUCAGUUGGUUAAGCAUCUGACUUUGGCUCAGGUCACAAUCUCACAGUUCAUGGGUUUGAGCCCCACGUCAGGCU
rnacentral:tRNA from 1 species